UUGGGGUUAAGACUUGGUUCAGAAGGCAGGCCCGUCCCGUUGAGUUGGAUCACUGUGUUACAUUCCCAUUAUAGAAUGGGAGCUGAGUUGUAAGAAGGACCUAGAUAAUGACUGAUGCCUGAUAAAACCUUCUGAAAUGCUUUCGAUCACCGGGGGGGGGUUUGAUUUUUCACUGGUCCAAGGGAGAUCACCUGCUGAGAGCACUGUGAAGAUAAGGGGUUCCCUAAAACACACCAAAGAUGUGGUUUCUGCUGCUGUUUUCCUGACAGAGAAGGCCUGCCAUGGUGCACACCGUCAGGAAGAGGGGUCUAGACAGAAAGGAUCCUGCAUUACUACUGCUCCAGGGCUCUGAUCAGCCUGAAAUAGAAGUUCUUGCCUACUUACUUUCUAAGAACUAAAUCCUCGGUGCUUCUUGCCCUCACUGUCUGGUCCGUGGUGAAGAGCGUCCUCAGGAAGGACGGCCGCUUGGGCUUCUACCACGGCCUCUCCAGCACCUUACCCAAGAGGUGCCCGGCUAUUUCCUCUUCUUUGGCGGCUAUGAGCUGAGCAGGUCGUUUUUUGCAUCAGGAAGAUCGAAGGAUGAGCUAGGCCCUGUCCCUUUGAUGUUAAGCGGUGGAGUUGGUGGGAUCUGCCUCUGGCUUGCUGUAUACCCAGUGGAUUGCGUCAAAUCCAGAAUUCAAGUUCUUUCCAUGUCUGGAAAACAGGCAGGAUUUAUCGGAACCUUUAUAAGCAUUGUGAAAAAUGAAGAAACCCUUCCCGGGAGCAGAGUGCCAAAGCCAAGAGAAGCCCUUGUUCGCUGUCUGGUGCCUGAAGGACAGUGCUCAUGGGCAAGGUCCUCUUUUGGAUGGAACUGGACAGAACCGAGGGCUUGUCCUCCGCAGGUCUUCCUAAAUAUGACAACUGUCCAUUUUUCUUUUGGUUCCAUACAUCUUUUGUACAAAAUAACAGGUAUGGCUCUAGUAGAAAUGGCUUAAUCUCCAAGAUCUGUGUAAGGCAGAAUGGCACUCCUGCCCUCAAUUUAUAGAAACCAAGAAAUCCUCAAGUCCCCCAUUCUUCAUUAUGUAAAAUAUAGGGUUAGUGUUGAGAACCACUGUGGCCUUAUCCUCAAAGUCCAUGCCAUAGGACUGUGUCAUAGGAGCUGAGACGUAUUCUAAUCAGAUCUAGGUGUGGUGAUAAAUCCCUCCCCUUGCAAGUGUAGCAGGAGUCUGCUCAGUUACUCCGAAUGGGCAGGUCCACCGUGUGUGGACUGAUGUGGACUGAUGUGGUCUACUGGUGACCGACCACCUACCACAUUCUAGGCCAGAAAGGAAAGCAUCCUCGAGGAAGGCUUUAUCUAGUUUAAAGGUGACUGAUACAACUAGAUCUAGGGCAGAAGUUAGAGGACACAGUAAGCAUCCGUGAAGACAGCUUAAAAAAAAAA